AGGGCAUCCGAGGGAGCGCACCGCGGGUCAUGCACAUCCGGGAGCCGAGCCCCGGCAGUGUCUGCCGCCAGGAGGGCGGGCGGGAUAACUCUUCAGGCAGGUCACACACACUAGAGGGAACAGAUCUGUUCAACCCUCAAGCCUGGGUCCGGACGCAUCGCCAGGGACUGAGCUCUGGCUUCAGCCCACUUCAGCUAAAAACGUGAAGAAAACAUAACUGGUCAAGACAAGAAGAAUCAAAUAGGGUGGCAGUCACAUCUGGGCCAAAGCCACCUUGAGGAGUCAGAGCCCGUGACCAUCUCCACCUGGUUGGAGCCAGUGAUCAUCUUCAGCAGCUGAUAUCACAAGGAAGAUUUAGGGACCUGGGAGCACUCAGGAGAGUCUUUCCCGGAGACAUGGAGCUUGGGGGCCGAAUGCUCUGGGCCCUCCUGUCUGGCCCCGGGAGGAGGGGAGGCACCAGGGGCUGGGCCUUCAGCUCAUGGCAACCCCAUCUGCCUCUGGCUGGGUCAUUGAAUGCCACAGAGCUGGUCAGCCACUGGACUGCAGUCUUUGAGAAGAGGGGCAUCCCUGAGGCCCAGGCAUCCAGUGAGUACAUCGUGGCUCAUGUCCUUGGAGCCAAAACAUUUCAGAGCCUGAGACCAGUACUUUGGACCCAGCCCCUGACCUCUUGGCAGCUACAAUGCAUCCAGGAGCUGAGUAGCCGCCGAUUGCAAAGGAUGCCUGUGCAGUACAUCCUUGGCGAGUGGGACUUUCAAGGACUCAGUCUGAAGAUGGCCCCCCCAGUGUUCAUCCCUCGCCCGGAAACAGAGGAGCUGGUUGAAUGGGUGCUGGAGGAGGUAGCCCAGAGUCCCUGUACAGUGGGAGCCCAAGGUGGCCCCCUCAUCCUGGAGGUGGGCUGCGGAUCGGGAGCCAUCGCCCUCAGCCUGCUGAGUCAGCUUCCCCAGAGCCGAGUCAUUGCCGUGGAUAAAGGAGAAGCUGCCAUCUGCCUGACCCAGGAGAAUGCUCAAAGGCUUCGGUUGCUGGACAGAAUUCGGAUCGUCCCCCUCGAUGUGACCUUAGAGGGGAGCUGGGCGCACCUCCUGCCCUGGGGCCCCAUGGACCUGGUCGUCAGCAACCCUCCCUACAUCUUCCACCAAGACAUGGAGCAGCUGGCCCCUGAGAUCCGCAGGUGCAGGGUGUGGUGGGAGGGAGGCCGGGCCUGGGAGGGCCUAGUAGGAUGUGUCUGCCCUGGGGGACUACACCAUUGGGAGGUACAGGGAGGGAGAAGGGACUGAAAGGGGCAGCGAUGUUGAAAGAAAGGCUCAUUCUGGAGCCCACAGACCUACUUGGUUCAGCUUCUGCCUUCCCACUGAAGACCACUGGAUAAUCACAGAACCUCUCUGAGCCUGACCUUUGAAAGGGUAGUGGUAGACCUUUGCAGGGCCACGGGGAGGACCUAGCAAUGACUCAUGUAUCAGAUGUGGUAUAGAAUUACAUAGAAGGUGCUCAGAUGGGUACAUCAUUUUACAGAAGAUUGAGGCCCGGAGAGGAAAGAUGCCUGGUCCAAGGUCAUGUGGGGGCUUAACAGGAAAGCGGGGACUAAGACCCUACUCCAGGCUUUGCACUGAACCAUCCUGUUCUCAAACGAUCUGAGAACCAGGGGUAGUCCAGAAGUCCUUGGACAAGGCAGCGGUAAUGUGGGUCAGGGUGCUGGCUCCCCUUUUCCAGGUUUUCAGGAGUGGUUUGGGCCAGCUACAGGCCUCCCCAGACCAAGCAUAGGAGCAGCCUUAUUGUGGGGAGACCCUCAUGCCCUGCUAUAUCCGUCAGUGGGAUUCACUGAGCAGCCCAGCACUGCCUGGUGGGGUGCUACCUGUAGGAGCUAUGAAGACCCACUAGCCCUGGAUGGUGGGGAGGAGGGCAUGGACAUCAUUACCCACAUCUUGGCCCUGGCACCUUGGCUCCUGAAGGACUCUGGGAGCAUUUUCUUAGAAGUGGACCCAAGACACCCAGAGCUUGUUGGCAGCUGGCUUCAGAGCCGGCCUAACCUGUUCCUUGAUCUCGUGGCUGUGCGCAGGGACUUCUGUGGGAGGCCCCGGUUCCUGCAUAUCCGGAAGUCUGGGCGACAGCGUGGCUGCCCCGCAGAUGCCUGGCCAGGGCCCCAGCCUGCCAGAGUGCCUGGCUGAUAGUUCUCCCUGGAGAGCUACUUGGAGGGAGGUGAUGGUACCUUCCAGAACCCAGAUGCUUAUGACAUUUCCCAUGAUUCUGUGAUUCUACAUUUUUUUAUGUUCUAGGAGACUUGGGGGUAGAAGCAAGGGUGGGGAUGUCUUUCCUGGGGUGGCACAGAACAAGGGCAUCCAUAGUUUGGCCCAGAGCUGAGCAGACCCAGGUUCCUGGUCUGGUUCCAUCCCAUCAGCGUUGCCAAGGGCAGGUUGCUCAAUGUCUCUGUGGGUGGAAUUGCCUUGGGGAUGUUGGGAGAUAGGGCCAAUAAAGUGUCGAGAGACCAACAAGUAGUGAUCUAAUGUGAUCACUGUGAUUUGUGGGUCGCCUGACCCCUUGUCCCCAGGCAGUGCUGGGGGUAGGAGCUUCCUCCUACCCCAGCAGGGCUGGCCAUCAGUCUCCUACCUAGUGGGGGUGUGGGAGCAUGGUGUGGAAAAAGGCACAUGGGUGCCCCUCCUGGGCCUUGGAUGCCAGGGGCCUUGGCACUGAGCAGCUCACUCCUGGGGGUUGACUUAGCCCUCCACUGCCCUGGGUGUGCUCUCACACACUUCCCUGACUGGGCCUAGGCUCUGAGCACAGGAAUGUCAUCUGAGCUUCAGCUCAGAGAUGGCUGCCUGCUUGCUGGAGGGGAGUGGGCUGAGGGCCUGCACUGUUCUGGUAUCACACAUCCACGUUUAUUUAAUGGAAGGUUUGUGUCAGUGAGGAGUGAGCAGGGUUUAUGUUUACUUUUUAUUAUCGUAGCUUUUGGUUAAAACAUUCCUUCCAAAUUGA